AUGUGGAGUGUGAAGGUCUAUGGAGUUGGAGCUGUGAGUAUGAGCAGGGUUUUGCUUGGUAUAUUUCAGGCAAGUUUUUGGAUAGUGGACAAUAGCAUAGCAAGGUUUUGUAGAGCAAAGUCGCAGGUUUUUUGGAUUGGUUUGGAUAGUAAGGUUGUUUGUGUUUACAAGGCUGGAAUUUGUACUGGCUUUGUGGCAAGUUUAUGGCUGGAUGCAUAUUUGAAAAGGGAGCUCGAUUUUGGAGCAUGGAUAUGA